CAGGGAGACAACAAAAUGUUUAAUAUUAUUAUUUUGUCACCUUAGGUCGAUCGGUAUCUCACGUUCUUAAUUUGUUAAGAAUUUCAUUUCCUAAGUUUUUCUAGGUCACACCCAUUAUUUUUCCUGGGCCAUUAGCUCAGGUGGUUAGAGCGCACCCCUGAUAAGGGUGAGGUCCCUGGUUCAAGUCCAGGAUGGCCCAUAUCUCUAUGUUGGGGGUAUAGCUCAGUUGGUAGAGCGCCUGCUUUGCAAGCAGGAUGUCAGCGGUUCGAGUCCGCUUACCUCCACUGAUUACCACCUCUUCCAUAACCGGUAGAAAGGAAAUGUUUUGAGUUGUGAUCAUUAUUCUGAACGAAUCUAGCUUCCUAAUGUAAUCAUUAAGAUGCUGGACUCAUUGAAUUAUUUUCAUUGUUUUCAGAGAACCUUGACAACUGCAUAGAUUAUUUUUAAAGACAAUAAGCAUCUUUAAUGAUGCAGAUUUAUUAUUUGUGCGAAUGCAUUAAUAACAAUUCUAUUAAGCUGAUGCUUCAAUUUUUGAAGUUAUU
rnacentral:tRNA from 1 species